AAUCUCCUACGGGGGGCAGCAGUGAGGAAUAUUGGUCAAUGGUCGGGAGACUGAACCAGCCAAGCCGCGUGAGGGAUGAAGGUACAGAGUAUCGUAAACCUCUUUUGUCAGGGAACAAAGGCGGGGACGUGUCCCCGGAUGAGUGUACCUGAAGAAAAAGCAUCGGCUAACUCCGUGCCAGCAGCCGCGGUAAUACGGAGGAUGCGAGCGUUAUCCUGAUUUAUUGGGUUUAAAGGGUGUGCAGGCGGUCUGUUAAGUUAGCGGUGAAAGCCCGGGGCCCAACCCCGGCCC
rnacentral:rRNA from 1 species